UGGGUCCGCAGAAUCAAAUCGUCUUGAGGAACGAGCGGGCGCCGCCCCCGCUCCCCUCAUUUAAUAAGAUCUGGGACACGUGGAGCCCCGAUGUGGCCUCCACCUCCCCGGAAUUAUGAUCCAGUAACACGAAAUUGGAAGCGUCCGACCUUAGGUCGUGCCGCGUGUCCGCUUUAGACCCUGUAACGGCACACUCAUUGAUGAG
rnacentral:lncRNA from 1 species